UGCCUAAGGUUCUCCAUCCCCUUGCAACGUGGAUCCCUCUCCAUCGCCAAGAGAAGGGGGUUUACAGCAAAAAUUACCCCGAUGUUAUCCAGCUUGGCCUUUUCAAGAAGGAACCCAGCCUUCGAAAAUGCAGGUUUAUAUACGGUGAGCCAGCACCAGACACCGAAGACUGUGCGAGAUGAACCUCUGGCUUCACACAGCCUGCACACCAGAUAUUUCUCAUCCAGAACAAACUGGAUCCACAAAAGGUUCGAUGCUCAGUCAAUGGUAAGUGCAACAUCAUCUUCUUGGGUGGUACUGUGGUCACAGAAGGUUCAAUGAAAGAGUCAGACACUAAAAACCCUUAAAUUUGACAUUUUAUUUCAUUUGCAGAAGAAAAUCCAACAUAGGCCUCAUUAUGUUAUGCAUCUUUAAUUAUAAAAAUAAGCAAAGAAAAUAACUUGCAUCUUUCUCAUUACUAUGAUAUGUUUCAAAUAACCUUUAUAUGAACACACUGAGCUUUAAAAAUGUAAUUUAAACAAUAAAUAAUGACAUAUACCAGAUAUGCUCACUGUUUAUUCCAGUACUCAGCAAAAAAAAAACAAAACAAAAAAACCCCAAACUCUCUCCCCCUUCUAAGUAUCUUUAAAUUAUAAAUACAUAAUGCAAAUUUAUAAUGGCACAAAACAUCUAAAGUGCAAACAAAUCACAAUGAGAAUCAUGCAAACGUUUCUAGAUAAGCCCCUCCCCGCCCCCGAGAGAAAUCAUUUUGCAGUGAACGCGAGAUUAAAAAAAUAAAGCAUUAGAGAUUAAAUAAAACAUGAAAUAGCUGGACUUAAUAUUGAGAAUCAUUUCCCAUCUCCAGGGGGAUGUCUCCCACCUAAGUCAAACCACCUAAAUCAGGCGUCCUUCCCAGUCGAGGGGAAGCACCUCUCCCAUCUCCGUGUCCCCCUCCCCUGACAAGAGAGAGCUUUAAGUGACCAGCUUAGGCUAGAUGGCAAAAGUUAGGCAAGGUGAACCCCAGGCCUUGCGAUGUGAUGGAUGCGUGCUCGCGGCUUCCUUCCUACUUCAGCAUAGG